rnacentral:lncRNA from 1 species
CAGGGGGUGGACUGUGACAAGUUGUAUUUUUCAAAAACAGUCACAACAAUGUCUAACUUGAACAUAUGCUGAAACAAUAUGCUUUCAAACUCUUAUGCCUGUACUUUUGAUUUAUUAAAUUAUUUUUUCUGUUUUGAACAUCCCUCCCAUGAAUAUUCAUGUACAUCUCCAAUAGUAUACAUGUAAAAGGCUGUCUUUUGGGCAUGUAGGAAAGGGUAGAAUUGCUGUCCAAAUUUACAAGGCAAUGGCAAAUUGUUUUUUAAAGGGAUUAUGUUGUUACAUUCCUAUCACCAAGAUGUAAGAAAUCUGGCUGCUGUCUCAUCUCUGGAUUUCACACUGGCUCUACUUGGAAUGCUUGCCCCCAGGUGGCUUAGUUCAGAGCGCCUCCAUCUAUCAGAGACUCAUCUUCUUAGGUGGAUGAGGUACAGCCUUCAGACAGGCAUCUUCUGGAGGCAGUUUCAGCAACAAAAGCCGGAAGACAGCUCAGUCUCCACAAGCCUGAGACCAGCCAGGGCUAACUUGUUGACAGACAGGGGUUGAGGUCCUCUCCCCGGCUCAGGCCUUCUUCCUCUUCCUCAGCUCUGAGGAGCAGGCCCCUGUCCCUGGUGUCCUACCUAAGGGAACACUGGGAUAUCUGCACACCUGGAACACCCCGAGCAGGAGAGAAGCACCCAGCUCUGGUAGCUUUGAGGAGCUCGGGGAGGUCAGGGCUCCCUAACAACAACAGCCACUGCCAUUAUCACUUCUUACGGAGAACUGACCGUAUGCCAGGCAAUAUGAAGCACUUCCUACGCUAACUUAUGCAAUGCACAAACAACCCUGUGAAGUAGAACAUCGACUCUGCUUUGCAGGCGAAGACCUUGCAGCUGCAGGCAUCUGCCAAUCUAGACAGUGGGCACUCAGACAGAAGAGGGCAAUGAGAAGGAAUCUCACAGUGUGGAUUUGAUAACUGUCCUGAAGGCAUUUUUCUUUCGGAGAACACUGUGUGUGGGACAGGCUUCAAAUCCUCGCAAAGCUGUCCUCUGACAGCAGGGGGCGCCAAUGUUUGAGCAAAGCCUCUGGCCCCAGAAAUCCAGGCACCAUUGGUGCAGAGGAAUACGAAAAUGGACAAGAAAGAGCAGGCAAGUGAUCCCUUGGGUCCCAGAAACGCAGAAAAGGAUCGCAAAACUAAACCGGACCGCGAGGCAGGCAGCUCAGAACCAGACUGAGUGAGGCUCCAUAUCCGCACACCCAGGGCUCCCCAAAUGUUCCCCGGGGCACCGGCCCCGCCCUAGGGACUCCUGGGGUUUCCUGUCUGUCAGGCCAGCCCCAAGGCAGCUGACGACCUGUUUCCUCUUUCCUUCAGUGGAGCUUGUGCUCCGCCAGCUCACUUCCAAGCCCAAGCUCAGAAGAAGCAAGUACUGCAGGGAAGAAGAGGAGGGACCAAGUCAGCCCUCUCUGGAUCAGUUGUGUUGCUUGAUACUCACGCCACUUGUUGCUUACACCGUAUCCAGUUCUUUUGCUAUUAUUUCAAGUAAUAAUAGACAUAACCCAGUGUAACUUUCUCUGUCCCCUAUUUAAGCCUCUCCUUCAUUUGUGAAAGGUUCGUGUAGCAUGAAAUGAGGGGAAGGACGCAAGGCCCGGGGGCACAAAUUUAAAUCCAGCCCUCCCUCCCCAACCUGUAAACUGUGUGACCUUGAUAACUCUCCUAGCCUCAGUUUCCUCCUCAGUCAAAUGCGUAUGAGGGCAAAAAGAGAGAGCGUUAUGCUUUACCUGGAGCUUAGCUCUUGGAAGGAACUUGCUGAUAGCUAGGAUUUCAUCUCCGUACGAAAUAAGGGCGGACAGAUGAAGGUAUUAUGGUAUUUGGAGAAGGCAUAUAAAUGAGCAAAUGGUAUGAUGACUAUCGGAUCUCAUAAAAUAAUGAUAAACAUUUCUUCGAUUUUAUAUCCACUUAGCAACUUUCCCAGCCGCCAUGACAGUCAUUAUGUCUACAUCCUCACCACCGCUUCACAGAUGACGAAAUUAAGAUUUAAAGAGAGUAAAGGAACUAGCCAAUGUCCACCCAGCAAUUCAGGGGAAGAACCAGGAAACAAAUUAUUCUUCAUGGCCCUGUUUCUGGCCUGGAAGGAGAUAAUAAUCCUAUUAUGAAAGGGGCCUCAGCAGGAGAAUAUAAUCAAGUGGUAUAAAAUGGACAUUAGGCGAGGGUACCACAGAGGGCCAGCGGAAGAAGAGCCGUGGGAAAGCGUGUAAGCAAAAACUAUGA